rnacentral:rRNA from 1 species
AGAUUUGUCCUCGUACCUUUUGCAUCAUGAUUUAGCUAGUGUGCCCAAGCAAAACGCGUUUUAGUUUGAUACCCCGAAACUAAGUGAGCUACUUCAGGACAGCCUAUUUAUAGGGCGAACCCGUCUCUGUGGCAAAAGAGUGGGAAGAUCUUCAAGUAGAGGUGAUAGACCUACCGAACUUUGUUAUAGCUGGUUGUCCGAGAAUUGGAUAGAAGUUCAGCCUCCUAUACUUCUCUAUUAACCCCAGUACUACACACCUGAUAAAACGAGAAGCUGGGAGAGUUAGUCGAAGGGGGUACAGCCCCUUUGACCAAAGAUACAACUUUAAUGGGAGAUUUAAGAUCAUAUUAAGGUUUAAGGACAAGUACUUAGGUGGGCCUAAAAGCAGCCACCCUAGGGAAAGCGUUACAGCUCAAGUACAUUUUCCAUCCGUUUAUUACGAUCAUCAACUCUUAUACCCCAACCCCUAUCGGACCACCCCAUGGCGACCAUGGGAAAGACCCUGCUAAUAUGAGUAAUAAGAGAGCCAAGACUCUCUCCUCGCACAAGUGUAACUCGGAU